rnacentral:misc_RNA from 1 species
UAGCGGCUAAUUGGCGCAUGCCGCCUCGCCAUAGUGCAGGCGGCUCCAUAAUGCAACCCUUGCCUUUUCUGAAGCACCAUUAUUUGAUCCCUCGGCGGCCUCGCCCGCCAGCAGGGACCUUGAAAACACUUGAAGUCCAAGCAUAGCCUUCUGAAAUAACCUAAAUCUCUUA